GCCCGCACAAGCGGCGGAGCAUGUGGAUUAAUUCGAUGCAACGCGAAGAACCUUACCUGGGUUUGACAUGCACAGGACGCCGGCAGAGAUGUCGGUUCCCUUGUGGCCUGUGUGCAGGUGGUGCAUGGCUGUCGUCAGCUCGUGUCGUGAGAUGUUGGGUUAAGUCCCGCAACGAGCGCAACCCUUGUCUCAUGUUGCCAGCACGUGAUGGUGGGGACUCGUGAGAGACUGCCGG
rnacentral:rRNA from 1 species